UUUUGCCCUAGGAAUAGUCUGGUAUUUUAUUAACAUUAUCUCUUUACUUGCACCUACUAUCUGUUCUGUAGUACUCAUCAGCAGAAAGUGCGAACUUUAUACCUAUCUCAGCUUUCAAGUGUCCAUAGGAGCAUUGCCUUUGGUAUAAGAGCUUCCUGGGGCUGGGAAGUAGAUGCUUGGUGCUGCUUCCUUGGGUUACUGGACCACUACCUGGAUGUACUCUUCAGCGUGUUGUACCAUUUCCAUGUUGGAAACUGGCUUCUGCCAAGUAGGCUGGCUUCUCUCUAGAAACAGAAGCAGAGCUGGAGAGUUUGUACCAGCUGGACCAGGAAGGCUGGAGUCAGAGCAAGUGGGACCUUGCAGGGAACAAGCAUGGAAAUGAAUGAGCAUGGGAGUCUUGUGCGUUAGGAUCUGCAACAGCUGGGUCAGGUCACCACAAGUUGGGUAGGCUCAUUAGAUUCACUCAUAUAAUACCAUUAAUCAUUGUACCAUAUAAUCAUUGUUUCAAUGAUGAUUUUAAAAUUAUUUCCUCAUAAACAGUGGGUG
rnacentral:lncRNA from 1 species